rnacentral:lncRNA from 14 species
CUCCUAACAUCCCAGCAUCUACUGCCAAGGGACCAGAGCCCAGUGACUUAGCUGGGCAUGAUAACAAGAUGGUCUAAGAGGCUGUACAUAUGAUGCGCUUCAUUAAAUGCUAUCCUCAUGCCUGCUUCCAUCUGCAUGAAAACUUGAUUGCAUGUAUAUCCCUGCAGAAAGCGAGGUGUGAGGUCACACGUGUCUUCCGGGUGUUUUGCUGUAUGAAAAGAAAUCUUUGCUGUGGUGUGAGAUGUUUAUGAGGUGAUAUCUAUGCCUGGGAGACACGAGGAGAGGAAGAAAGCCAAAGUUCAAGGGCACAGGGCCAGGAGCAUCAUUACUGCCACAAUGGUAUAAGGAGAUCAGAAAAUGCAGUAGUCAAACUGCUGGAGGAUGACUGCAAGCAAGAAGGAGGAGAGGGAAAAGGGACAACAUCCUGCUACAGAAAGGUGCAAAGUAUCAAGAGACCUGAAGGAGCAAUUUGGGUGCUUUAGUCCAGUAUCACCCAUCACAUCUGAAUAGGUUUCCAAAGAGAAGAGGUUUGCCAUCUGGGUGGAAACCUGACCAAGCAUCACAGGAGGGGUUGGGCCCAUCAGCCAAGCUGAACAGCUGUGGGGAAGCUACAGGAAAACCAAAUCACUCCACUGGAAUAAUUUAUAGUGGCUGGCUUGUGGGGAUAAUAACAGAAAAGGAACUCAGCCCUUUCAUCUGCUGUUGCAGCGUGAGGUCCGUGCCAGACAUUUGCAAAGCACCAUUUUCAAGCUGUGAUGGGAGCUUCACCUGGAAUGUUGUGUAAGAAUCAGCUAGGAGAAGGAAUGACACCUCUGUGGCUCUGUGAUGUGGUAUCUCAGGGCUUCACAGUGCAUCCCUUCACCAUGUCCUGUUGGUGAAGUCACAUUAAUCAUCCCGUGUAAGUCCCAGAUGGUCAAUGCCCAACUAGAGGCAUUUUUGGCUGGUCCUUGACUUGUGGUGGUCAUGUUUUUGUUGGGUGAAAGUCACACAGCUAAAAGCACUGUCCUGGUAUACUGACAUAGGGAUCUGGGACAGGGACAUCUCAGACCAUCCCACCUACUCUCUACCACCAGGAAUGUAAACCAUAGGACUUAGAAAGAUCAUUCAUCCCUUGGGUCCUCCUGAAUCUGAAUACCUAUAGAUUACCAUUUGGGUGCCAGACAUCCUCCACCUGAAAAUACCCUGCCAUAUCAUGACCUCCUUGCAUUUGGUUCUCAAGGAUAGGGCAGUGCCUCCCUUCUCUCUCAGCUAGGUGCAUGCUCAGGUGAUUGCACUGAUUUUACUAUUAAUCAGUGAUAAUUUACCUCUGUAGAACGGAGGUAUCUGUAAAUGCUGGCUAUUAGCAGUGAAAGCACUCAAUCAGAUCUAUCAAAGAAAUAAAUAGUAGGGAGAAUACA